rnacentral:rRNA from 1 species
AAGGAUCAUUAAUGAAUUCACUAUGGAGUUGUUGCUGGCCUCUAGGGGCAUGUGCACGCUUCACUAGUCUUUCAACCACCUGUGAACUUUUGAUAGAUCUGUGAAGUCGUCUCUCAAAUCGUCAGACUUGGUUGCUGGGAUUUAAACGUCUCGGUGUGACUACGCAGUCUAUUUACUUACACACCCCAAAUGUAUGUCUACGAAUGUUAUUUAAUGGGCCUUGUGCCUAUAAACCAUAAUACAACUUUCAACAACGGAUCUCUUGGCUCUCGCAUCGAUGAAGAACGCAGCGAAAUGCGAUAAGUAAUGUGAAUUGCAGAAUUCAGUGAAUCAUCGAAUCUUUGAACGCACCUUGCGCCCCUUGGUAUUCCGAGGGGCAUGCCUGUUUGAGUGUCAUUAAAUUCUCAAACUCACUUUGGUUUCUUUCCAAUUGUGAUGUUUGGAUUGUUGGGGGCUGCUGGCCUUGACAGGUCGGCUCCUCUUAAAUGCAUUAGCAGGACUUCUCAUUGCCUCUGCGCAUGAUGUGAUAAUUAUCACUCAUCAAUAGCACGCAUGAAUAGAGUCCAGCUCUCUAAUCGUCCGCAAGGACAAUUUGACAAUUUGACCUCAAAUCAGGUAGGACUACCCGCUGAACUUAA